CGUGUAAGGGUGCAAACACCAGCAACAUGCUAAAGCAUUUGUCUACCAAGCACGGAAUUAAGUCCCAAGAAUGCCAUGUGUUCAAAAGCCUGCAUACGAGUCAAACAAGCUCCACUGUGUCCUCCGUUGACAACGAGUUUCCAAACCAAAAUCGCCACUGGAUAUGAAGGCAUACAUUUCAUGCCUAUUUAAUUAAAGGGGAUGUACGAGGCCUAUGUAGAAAAUAAAAUGGUUACUUUUGGUGCAAAAGACUGUAUAACUCUUUUCUUGCCACUCAAUGAACUACUCAGGAAUCGGUAAGAGAAUUGAUAAGGAAUUGGAUCGAUAGGCAGAAUCGACAAUGGCAUUGAUAU
ensembl:lncRNA